UAAAUUAGUAAUGGGCCUUGAUAUGAUAAUGGGCUAGGGUUUCAUCCCCACUUAUCUUGCUCAUAUAAAGUUACGCAAACACUUGUCUGGCCGUUCUUUCUCUGUCUCCGUUCUAUCCAAAAGGAGAGAAUAGUAGCUGAGGAAGUGCCAAAAUGAGUAAGCUCCAGAGUGAAGCCGUGAAAGAUGCGAUAUCAACCAUUAUCACUCACUGCAAGGAGACGAAGCCUCGCAAGUUCACCGAGACUAUCGAGCUCCAGAUUGGUCUCAAGAACUAUGACCCUCAAAAGGACAAGAGGUUUAGCGGUUCCGUUAAGUUGCCUCACAUUCCUAGGCCCAAGAUGAAGAUUUGCAUGCUCGGUGACGCCCAGCACGUUGAAGAGGCUGAGAAGAUUGGGUUAGAGUCUAUGGAUGUGGAAGCUCUUAAGAAGCUGAACAAGAACAAGAAGCUUGUCAAGAAGCUAGCUAAGAAGUUCCAUGCUUUCCUUGCUUCUGAAUCUGUCAUCAAGCAGAUUCCCCGUCUUCUUGGUCCUGGUCUCAACAAGGCAGGAAAGUUCCCAACUCUUGUUAGUCACCAAGAGUCUUUGGAGUCCAAAGUGAAUGAGACAAAGGCAACAGUGAAGUUCCAGCUCAAGAAGGUUCUUUGCAUGGGUGUCGCCGUUGGGAAUCUCGGCAUGGAAGAGAAGCAGAUCUUCCAGAAUGUUCAGAUGAGCGUCAACUUCCUUGUUUCCCUCUUGAAGAAAAACUGGCAAAACGUUAGGUGCUUGUACUUGAAGAGCACAAUGAGUCCACCCACCCGUGUUUUCUAAGAUUAUUUUAUCUCAAAGUUUCUCUCAAGGUGUCAUCUGGCUGUGAGGAGAUUUCAUUUUCAUUUCUGUCAUGAUUAAGAUUUUGUUUAAAGACGGAGUUAUUUAUAAUAUUCCGAUUACUUUUGGUGAAUUCUCUGUAUUUAUGUUAGUUUAACCCAAUCUUAUUACAAACUAAUGGAAUACAAUCACAAGAAAUCAAUAAACAGUGUUUUAUUAUCA